UGUGGAAAUAAAUAGCACUGACAGAGGAAGAGCAUUAAUCAGAGGCCUCAGUGACCUCUAAAGCUGGUUUGUGGUAGUUCGAUGAAAUGCAAGUAUGUCUGAAAUAUGCACAACUUAAUCCCCGAACCCGCAGCGGAGCCUUGUGAGAAACACGAUGUGACAUCUCGGGGAGGUCGCGGGGAUGUUCAACAUUUCUGAAGGUCAAAAAAAAUUGCAGUAUUUUCUGCUGUUGUGCAACAAGUUUGAUUGAACCAGUUGUUUCUCAAGUCUGUCAUUAUGGUUCCAUCACUUCUGUCAACAGAAAGAUCUGCUGUGUAGCUUUAACCCUUACAUGGUAUUUAUAUUAUAUUAAUACUGUUAAAGUCUAGCUCCAACUGUCACUGUAGCCAGUAGUGCUGAAUUUGAGCUUCGUCCCCCAGUUCCAGCAGCUGUAGUGGAUCCAUUAGCGGACUGUUGGACUGUUAGCUCCCAGUGAUCAGCAGCUCCAGCUUACGAUGCCGAACUGACAGUGAGAUUGUGGACAUAUGACGCCCUUCAGUGUUUCUAGAGUUACGUGUUUUUACAGAUAUUUAAAUUUUUUUUUUUAAAUGUGAUAUUUUUUAAAGGGAAUUUGGUGCAAAGAGGUUUAAGUUGGAUUCAAACAGCUAAUAUGGAUCAUUUUUAAAGUCUGAUAAUGUUGUCUGACAAUACCUGCUGACAGUUAUUAUUAAAACCUUCUAAUAAUUCUGGAGAAAUUACAGAUCUGACCAACUCUGUUCUGCUUUUAUAAAUGAAGAUGUGUCUCAGUGUCUGUGUGUGUUUGACAGUCUGCAACAGACCAGAUCAGGUAACAUCAGAGGACAGGACGAGGUCACGGACCCCAAAACUGAAGACACAGCAAACGUCACACCGAUCCUUUAUUCCCUGUGGUCAAACUGUCCUCAGAUGCUGCGUUCAUGGACCUGCUGUUCACUGGGAAGUGGACUUUAAUGAGACUGAACUACAAGAACAAACUGAAAUGAUCCUUUAACUAUUACUGAUUAAAUGACUGAACUCCAUCAUUCUGUCUGCAGAUUGAUUUUUAUCAUGAAAUGCAAACAGCAGCAGUGGAUUGAACAAACAACCCGAGAGCUCUUUCAAUAUCUAUAUAUAUAAACAUUAAAUAUCUGUAAUUAGCAGUAAAUGAGGCGACAGAGUCCAAAGAGCCAUGUAUGGUCAUUAAAGACACACGGAGCAGCGUGUUCACUCUGGCUCUCCGUUAGAAUUAGAUUGCUACGAUUUAUAGCUCCAUGCUGAGUGCUUUCAGGUCAGAAAACGAGGGUUGAAUGAAAUUAUCCCCCAGACGACACUUAGUGAAGGUCAGUGCUGUCACACCCUGCAGCAGGAGGACGGACCGCCUCCUCCUGUGGAGGUUCAUGUUCAUAGGACUCAGAUUUUACGUACGUAGGGCUCGACUUCACGUUGAUGAUAUUAAUGUAUUGAUUAUAAUGUGUAUAUGUGAACAGCAGCCUGUUAAACAGCUGUAAUGAUUGUGAAUCACAACAAGCAGCAAGGAGACUGAACCUUUAGUUCCUUUAUUCCAACACAGUGUAACAUCACACAGUCUGGUUGUUCAGCACACAGAAUAAAUAACUGAAACUGAUCAGACUGAUCGAUACGAUGGAUGAUGGAUAACGUUAACAGUUACUAAUUAACUGGCUACAAACUGGCUCCUCUUCCUCCGUUUCAUUCCUCUCGUGUUGCUGCCUGAACCCGCCGAGUCUUCAUCCCCAGAGUCAGAGUCAGAGUCAGAGUCCUGGUCGGAGCCGCUGACUCCUCCUGUCCUUCCAGCUCCCAGUCCGGGUACAGGCAGCUAAUAGGACCGCUAACUAUCUAAUAGCAGCUAGAACAGUUAGCAUAUGCAGCACCGCAGCAGUAAGAGACUUCCUGUGUUACAAGAGAAACAACAAUCCUCUGAUACUUCGGUCCCGGCGACUAAUGAUUAAGUCGACUAUUAGGGUCUAUUAAGUUAUAAAAAAUAACCUUAUUUGACAUGGUGGAGUGCUGAGGGUGAAUUCAGGAGUAUUAAAGGAAGGAAGAAGCUGUUCUUAAUCCUGGCCUGCAUUAAAUUUCCUAUAUAACAAUAAAGUAUAUAGUUAAUAUAAAAAUAUGAAAAAAGUUGUUAAAAAAUAAAAUAUUAUCUUUUUUUUUUAAUAAAUAAAAAAAUACAAAUUAGAAAAUAAAAAUAGAAAUGUUGUGCUAAAUAUAAGUUACGCUAAGCUAACCAUGUCCCAGCUCCAGACAGUGGUAUCAGUCUUCUCAAUAUGAAAGUGUUUGUUUCGGUCUCACUUUAUCUGUUUAACCUUCGAGCUGCUGCAGAACUCGAGUUGGAUUUGAUGAGAAAGUUUAACGUCUCCCUGGAGUCGUAUUUCCUGACGAGAGCAGUUUGCUGAAACUGCGUCGUCGGGCGUCAGCGAAGAGGUCACGCAAACAUUUGUGUCGGACUCACGGCAUCUGUUGAGUGUGUGUGUGUGUGUGUGUGUGUGUGUUACAGAUGCCGAGCUGCUGUGCGUGAAGAGAAAGAGAGGGAGGCGACGAGGUCGGACGACCGGGGGGAGAAAAAUGUGUGAAUAAUCCAAAAGUUAACGGCUGCUGCUGUUAAUGGGGAAAGAUUUCUGGAUGUGAACCCAGACGGUGCUGGCGAGACUCCUGCAGCAGUCACAGCCAGCGUCUCUUUAGGUGGAAAAAGAAAGGAUUUAAUAACAUCAGUGAAAACAACUCGGCUAAGAGGUUAUUUUGUGAAUGAAAGCUUCGACUGGAGCAGCUGAAGGAGCUUCAGCGCAGUGAUAUCGUUUCUUAUCUCUUGAUUCUUCAUAGAGUUUCUAUUGACGAUACAGGACAGC
ensembl:lncRNA